GUGGGGACACAGCUGGAGGCAGGGUAGCAGGAUGUGGCUGAUUUUUCAGCCUGGACGAUGGAUUCGCUCUCCUUCUCUCUUUACAUUUAGAUGUGCGUGAGAAUUUUUAAGAUAAAGGAUUUUAAAAGAGCAGAUUUACUGUCACCCCUGCAACUGAGGCUGUGUGGCCUCUAAAGUCCACAGUCCGUGGUUUCUAACAGGAUUUGUGGUCUCCAGUUCUUCUUCUCCAGGAAGACAGCCCAUCCUGUUUCCCCAGCACUCCAUUCUUCCAUUUAAGGGGUGCAGACAGCAGCCCUGAGCUCAGCAUCCCGUGGCCCCUGCACAGACACUGGCACCUCCAUGCAGGCUCCUCCCCAGCCUUGAGAUGCACAAAGCCAAUUUGAGGCUGCAGCUCGGAGAUAGCAUCGGCCCAAGUGGACAGGCGGAGAGCCAGCCUCUCACCGCUCCUUAAGGCGCCUCUGCACCCUUCAUCUGCCCAGGUGGACAGGUGGAGAGCCAGCCUCCCGCCACUCCUGACGGAACCUCCACUCCCUUGACCUGCCCACGUGGACAGGCGGAGAGCCAGCCUCCCCCAACUCCUGAAGGGACCUCCAUGCCCUUGACCCCGUGUCCUGAGAGCUGGAGCACAACGGCCACCAUGACUGUUACGACCUAAAAAGAAUGACGCUGCAUUUUGCCAGAGGUUUGCAAACAAAAGUGAGAGUCGGAGGAAUGUGGGAGAAGAGAAGGAGGAAUGAAAACCAGGGCAAGAAGGUCAAGAUGGAAACCUGUGGCUCCGUGACAAACGUCUUUGAACGAGCUCAGCUGUGCCUUUCUAGGCCCACGAUCAAUAGGCAGCCGUUUGAACGGCCAUUGAUGAGCAAAGGUAACAGCUGCUGAAUGUGGUGGCCAAGCGGGCCUGUGGGUUUGGGGUGCUGCCGGCUGCUGUUUGGGAGAUUUGUUACACAUGACAAGUGACACGCAGGGCCCUGUGUGGCCAACAGAACAGGCUGCCCUUGGGCGUGGCUGCAGAGCUUCGUGUGGAGCUCCGGCAGUGCCUGUCCUGAAACCAACUGAAGGUUUUUAAACACCAACCACCAUUGCUGAGAAGCCGGAGCUUCGUUCUCACUACACCCAGAUAGUGGUGGAAGGAGAGGCCAAAAUAGUUCUGUGAAGAUGGGCACUCAGGCCAGCCUCAUUCUGCCCAAGAAGGGAUUCUCCAUGAAAGGUGAGGCAAGAAGACUUAGAUCCCUUAAUAACCACCGGCUAAACAUGAAUCAAAAGUGUUUAUGCGAUUGAGUUUCGAGGUGAAAGGGGGGCAAUGGUAUUCAUGCAGCCAGAAACCUUAUCUGGAAGAGAAUAAUGAAGAAGACAAAAUGGCCGGGCACAGUGGCUCACGCCUGUUUUCCCAGUACUUUGGGAGGCUGAGGCAGGCAGAUCGCCUGAGGUCAGGAGUUCCAGACCAGCUUUACCAACAUGGAGAAACCCCGUCUCUACUAAAAAUACAAAAUUAGCCGGGUGUGGUGGCACAUGCCUGUAUUCCCAGCUACUAGAGAGGCUAAGGCAGGAGAAUUGCUUGAACCCGGGAGGCGGAGGUUGCCAUGAGCUGAGAUCGUGCCAUUGCACUCCAGCCUGGGCCACAAGAGCGAAACUCUGUCUCAAAAAAAAAAAAAUAAUAAGUUGUAAGCUUUUGUAUUGUAUCCACUUGGUAUUUCUACUUUUGUUAAAUUGGGGGAAAUACUAACAUUCUCAACCUAUUUGUGGGUUGCCUUCAGAAUUCUGAAAGUUGGGAGUCCCCGAGCAGUGCCAAUGAGUGUUGUGCCUGCAGAGGAAGUCCCAUCCCUCCCGCAAGCAGCUGUCUCUAACAAACCCUGCCCAGCUGUUUCCCUGCGUUGCAGACACUACAGGUGAUGGGCAGAGGGUCAGGCUCCAGAGGGGAGACCACGCCAACAGGGUGAGUGCAACAGGACCCCAGGACCAGCAGCCGAGGGAUCCAGCAUGGUCUUUAGUGCAGCCUCCUGCUUCUGUGGAUGAAGCCUGCGUGUCAGCCAUCUAUGGCUCCGAAACAAAGUCACCAAACACUUAGCAGCCUAGUCAACAAAUAUUGAUGAUCUCACACCAUUUCUGAAAGUCCAGGAUCUGGGAAUAUCUUUGCUGGGUGGUGCUGACUCAGCAGUGAGUUGGCAGCUCAAUGAGGCAGACGGAAAGGAUGAGGAAAGAGAUAUCCUAAAGUGACGGCAGCUCCUCACUGUCAUUAUGUUCCAUCAAGUCACUGCCAACAUUGAGUCAGUGAGUCCCGAACCAUCACUCCUCUGGUGAAUCUCCUGAAAGCCUCUGGUCCCAUUCUCAUCAGCCAAUCAAUACAUAAGCUUGUUUUAUGUGUGUUUCUGUUAAAAGACACCUGAUUUAAUAUGGGUUGUUAACACUUGUACUAGUCCGUUCUCUCAGUGCUAUAAAGACAUACCUGAGACUGGGUAAUUUAUAAAGAAAAGAGGUUUAACUGACUCACAGUUCCACAUGGUUGGGGAGGCCUCAGGAAACUUACAAUCAUGGCAGAAGGCAAAGGGAAAGCAGACACGUCUCACAUGGCGGGAGGAGGAAGAGAGAGAGAGAAGGGGGAGGUGCUACACACUUUCAAACAGCCAGAUCUCAUGAGAACUCACUCAUGAUCACGAGAACAGCAAGGGGGAAAUCUGCCCCCGUGACCCAGUUGCCUCCCGCCAGGCCCCUCCUCCAACACUGGGAAUUACAGUUUCUCCUGAGAUUUGUGCAGGACGCAGAGCCAAACCAUGUCAACACCCAAGUCACUGCCUAGGGCAGCUUCUCAACGUGAGGCACAGCACCGCCUCCCCUCACCCAGGAAGACUAGCAACGGCACUUCCUCACGGCGCUUGAGGCUGUGUUUAACAGCAAAAUUUCUAACAAAAAGCAUGAAAAUGUGAGACUAACUACGGUGUGGAGAGCACUUGUUUACAGCAUGAGCUGAAACCAGAGGGCAGUGGCCACUCUGCUGGGAACCUGGGCCUUGGAGACACAGACUUUUCAUCAUUCUUCCGAUGUCAUCAAAACACCAUAAAAGCACCAAGUACUGAUUUGGGGAAAAUGAAUUCAGCAAGUGGGUAGUUUCACAAGUGGCGAAUCUGCAAUGACUGAGGGUCAACUGAGGUGCUGCUGAAGGGAGGCGUGUGAAGGCCGGGCGUGAGCUCAGGUGGGGCCAGGCUGCUGCGGCCUCUUGAUGAAACAAGGUGCUCCUAGCUUCGGCCUGGAAGCUCCGUGAAGGUCAUGAGUGCUUGGCUGAGCUUGACCUCUUCAGGAGGCUCCUCAAGGCACUGGAGAGCCAGCCCGAGUGACUGACAGCCUCACACGCAUCCACCAGGCAGGACACACAACCUCCCAAACACAUUGGCGAACCUCAGCUUUGACUGACAGGUGCUGAGCCUCUGAGAGCACAUCAUGUCCUCUCCGGGGCAUCAGGGAGCUCCCACAGGCUCCUCUGCAGCCAGCAAAUCCCAUUUCCUGGGGAGGAUAGAGGUGUGCCUUGCUCCCUUCCUCUGACACCUGUGGCCCGUGUGCUCCUGCACCUGGAAAAGCCUCAUCCCAUCCGGCUGCCAACGCUAGGCUGAUUCCCUCGAAACAUGCCUGGUGUCCCACCCUCCUUUGGCUGGAGAAGAGUGAGAGAAGAGGAA
rnacentral:lncRNA from 10 species